UGCCUCUUAGGGAAUGGAUCAUCAGUGCCAGACAGGAUAUUGGAUAUCAUAUUGAUUACACCAGCAGUUGGUCGAUUGUGAUCAUCAGAAGUUACUUCUACUGGAGGCCUAUAUUCUUCAGAUUUAGUCGGUCUGGCAUAUUUACAGAGGUAACCCUGACGUAUCAGGAUUUCUAUCUCAUCUCACAGCUGUCUGCAUUCCUCAGUGUCGUAGCCAUAAUCUCUGUGGAAGCAGCAAUACUUUCACUUGUCCUUCUUCUUUGGUGGGGCC
rnacentral:lncRNA from 1 species